GGGUGCUAUAAUCCAGUCNAUACGAACAGAUAGGAGCUUGCUCCUUUGACGUUAGCGGCGGACGGGUGAGUAACACGUGGGUAACCUACCUAUAAGACUGGAAUAACUCCGGGAAACCGGGGCUAAUGCCGGAUAACAUUUAGAACCGCAUGGUUCUAAAGUGAAAGAUGGUUUUGCUAUCACUUAUAGAUGGACCCGCGCCGUAUUAGCUAGUUGGUAAGGUAACGGCUUACCAAGGCAACGAUACGUAGCCGACCUGAGAGGGUGAUCGGCCACACUGGAACUGAGACACGGUCCAGACUCCUACGGGAGGCAGCAGUAGGGAAUCUUCCGCAAUGGGCGAAAGCCUGACGGAGCAACGCCGCGUGAGUGAUGAAGGUCUUCGGAUCGUAAAACUCUGUUAUUAGGGAAGAACAAAUGUGUCAAGUAACUGUGCACGUCUUGACGGUACCUAAUCAGAAAGCCACGGCUAACUACGUGCCAGCAGCCGCGGUAUACGUANGUGGCAAGCGUUAUCCGGAAAUUAUUGGGGCGUAAGCGCGCGUAGGCGGGUUUCUUAAGGUCCUGAUGUUGGAA
rnacentral:rRNA from 1 species